UGAAUCCGAUUGGCCGAGGGGCGCGCCCGGAGCGCGAGGCGAGGCGCUGCCCGUGCGGUUUUCGUUCGAGGCCCCAACGAGAGACUCGGGUGGGGGGGGGGUCGCCGUCACAACGGGCAGACAACUUUCCCCAACUCGUGUGAAACAACGACGUCUCGGAACGCUUCACGGUGUCGGAGUUGGACUCCAAGCAAGAAUGAAAGAGGAGGGGAAGUGAACAUAGGUGUCGUCGGAGAGGUCUCUACAUGCCCUGAUUUUAGUCAUGAGAAGAAUGAUAGGAGGAAGAGAAUGGAGUCGGUGGGACUUCAAUAAAGUUGAAGCGUUUUCAAGCUUGGAGCGGAAAGUGUUUUCAUUUUAUUGAGAGGUGUCACACAUGGGUCCAAAAAGACAUGGAGAGAAAGACACUGAAGGAUAAGAAGAAACCGACCGCUCAUUG